GCAGUCGAUGAUGGCGUUGUAGGAGGCGUUUACUGAGCCGAAGUAGUACUGGGUCUGUUUCAUGACGCAGCUGCUCUCGCGCGUCUCGGGGCUCCCCUCGGCCUCCGCGGGGUCUGCGAGGGCCCAGAGCGCCUCAGCUCCGCCCACAGACCCGGGCAAGGUCUCCGUCCUCCCUCAGUCGUAGGCCCCACCCUCCCCUUGGAGUCGUCUUUGCCCAGACUGGGGACCGGACUUGAGGCGCCUCCAAAGCCCUACUUACCUGCUUGGAACCAACUGUGGUAGAUGAGACCGUAGAGAAGCUGCUGGAACAGGGACCUGCAGGGCACGGAGAGGCGAGUGCAGGUGGUCAGCAGAGAACGAUGCCGUGCCCUACUUCUCUUCCGAGCCCUACUGACCAGGGAACACUUCUCUACCCACCUCCCGCUCAGGACUCACCAGGCGGCAGCAGAGGUCCACCAGGCCAGGUUAAGGAAGUCUGCAACGGUGGGCUGCAGUGGAGAGAGGGUCGUGGACUGCCACUGCUGCCCCUCGCCCUAGGUCACCCCCAGCUCUAUCAAAUGUCAGAGCACCAGGAAUCCUCCAUCAUCAAUGAGGACACAGAGCUGGGUGAUGCCUACGUGUUGAGAUCCUGGUCCCUCCACACACGCUCUACCAGCUGCUGCGUGAUGCCCGUGUCCAAGAUCAGGUUGUGCAGAAGGAAGUUGUUGCCUGGAACAGGAGGGGAGGGCUGGGGGUGGGGGUGUCUUCUUGCAGCUCCCUGUCCACUCUCGCCCCCACCCUCAAGACUGCACCAGGAGCCUCCUCCAUGACCUGGCCGAGGCCCAGCCCUUAGCUUGUGCCUGCUUAUUUCCACACCUCCCCGGCCUCUGGGUUCCUCUGGGCUGGCCCCAUGCUGCCUGGGCACUGCCCAGAGCCAGCUGCUCUGCUAGACACUCACACUGCUUGGAGUCUGGAGUCACUUUCUCCAUGAGCUCAAUAAAGUUUUUCAGGAACUCGG